rnacentral:rRNA from 1 species
AUUGAACGCUGGCGGCAUGCCUUACACAUGCAAGUCGAACGGUAACAGGUCUUCGGAUGCUGACGAGUGGCGAACGGGUGAGUAAUACAUCGGAACGGGCCUAGUAGGGGGGGAUAACUACUCGAAAGAGUGGCUAAUACCGCAUGAGAUUUACGGAUGAAAGCAGGGGGUCGCAAGACCUUGUGCUACUAGCGCAGCCGAUGGCAGAGUUAGGACAGUGGAGGGAUAAAAAGCUUACCAAGCCGACGAUCUGUAGCUGGUCUGAGAGGACGAUGAGCCACACUGGAAAUGAGACACGGCCCAGACUCCUACGGGAGGCAGCAGUGGGGAAUUUUGGACAGUGGGCGAAAGCCUGAUCCAGCAAUGCCGCGUGCAGGAUGAAGGCCUUCGGGUUGUAAACUGCUUUUGUACGGAACGAAAAGCACCGGGUUAAUACCCUGGGGUCAUGACGGUACCGUAAGAAUAAGCACCGGCUAACUACGUGCCAGCCGCCGCGGUAA